rnacentral:rRNA from 1 species
UACAGAGGGUGCAAGCGUUAAUCGGAAUUACUGGGCGUAAAGCGUGCGUAGGUGGUUCUUUAAGUCAGGUGUGAAAUCCCCGGGCUCAACCUGGGAACUGCAUUUGAUACUGAAGAGCUAGAGUGUGGUAGAGGAUAGUGGAAUUCCCAGUGUAGAGGUGAAAUUCGUAGAUAUUGGGAAGAACACCGGUGGCGAAGGCGGCGACCUGGUCCGUGACUGACGCUGAGGCGCGAAAGCGUGGGGAGCAAACAGG